rnacentral:rRNA from 1 species
UACGUAGGUGGCAAGCGUUGUCCGGAUUUAUUGGGUUUAAAGGGUGCGUAGGCGGCCCUGUAAGUCAGUGCUGAAAUCACCCCGGCUUAACCGGGGGGGGUGGCAUUGAUACUGCAGGGCUUGAGUACAGAUGAGGUAGGCGGAAUUGACGGUGUAGCGGUGAAAUGCAUAGAUAUCGUCAAGAACACCGAUAGCGAAGGCAGCUUACUGGGCUGUAACUGACGCUGAUGCACGAAAGUGUGGGGAUCAAACAGG